rnacentral:sRNA from 1 species
AAGUAUAUGAAUGACAAACAUAAAAUCAAUGCAUCAACAUUUCGAUGUAAUUGUUUGGUAUUUAGGCAGUUUUUUGUUUUGUUUGGUAUGGUGUCAAUGCAGGGCUAAGAAUGGGAUAGAGGAGAUGUGUAGGGAUCUAUGGAAUUGGGCAAGCAAUAACCCCUACGGCUACAAUUCCUCCUCCAAUGGCUCCUCUUCAUAAUUCUCCUUUUUUAAUUUUUAUUUUGCCUUUUUUGCUUACUUAUAUUCAUAUAAACAAACACAUAAAAAAAAAGAAGAGAAAGGCUGACAAGUACCCAAACUUUAGAAGAAAUUGAGGAAAAUUCUUGUACUAUCAAUUUAUCAUAG